UUGAACCAAGCUUCUGCCAUGUCUCCCCAUACCAAUUCUUGAGACCCGGAAACGCCUUCUGCUCCACUGCAUCCCUCUGCUACCGCCUGAACCUCAUCACUCACUGUAGCCCCACUUGAACCCAUUCCUGAAUCAUUGUCAGGAUUGUCUCCUUGAGGCUGUUGUGACGGGGCCGGCACUGGAGGUGGUGGUGGCAUAAUUUCCAUGCUUGAAGCCUGCAAGUCAAGGGUUUCUUGAGUUUGUUUUGGUGAUGAACUUUGAUUGGGAGUUGGCGGAGACGAAACUGUAGAAGUUGGAACAAUGGAGAUUUCUUUAUCCUUAUUGAGGAAAAGUUCAGGGAAAUUCAGCCUUGCAUUCUCUCCUCUCAACUUGAAAGCCUCGCGAUCAUAAGCCAAGGCAGCUUCUUCAGCUGUGUCAAAGGUGCCUAGCCAAAGGCGAGUCCUAUUGCGAGGGAGACGAAUCUCGGCUACCCAUUUCCCCCAAUGCCUUUGCCUCACUCCCCUGUAAAGCUUUGUUGUGUUUAU
rnacentral:misc_RNA from 1 species